AUGUCCCACUGGGAGGUACUCGGCGCCUGGUGGGUACCCGCGGGGCGGAACCGCCUUUGGAAGAUGUGUGAGGACUCCACCCAUCGCGCAGGAGGAUGGGAGGGACGAGAGGAUUGGAGGGGGCCAGAGGGCACAGAGGGACUCUCUGGUGAGGCCGGCACCUCCACUGCCCCCUGGGGCGGAAACAGCCUGAACUACCAGGACACAGGCAUGACUAGAGGUGAGGGUGGGGAUCUCGCGGAAACGGCAGCACAGACAUCCCAGACAAACAGAGAUGCUCUGUUCUCACCAGCCCUCCACCACACAAACCCUCCAGCACUUCCAGGGCUCCCUGCCCUUGAACUUCCCCCUAUACUUUGGGUCCACGGGUCUGGCCAGGAGCUUCUUUUCGUCCCCUCCCCGACCCCGUCGCCUGUGGUCCAGGGCUCCUGGUUACUCCGCUGGGCUGGGGCCCCUUCCAGGAUGGACGUCCUGAGGCUGAGAAAAGCCCGGGAUGUGUGGAAAAGCUAGAUUCGGAGAGAAAACGGGAAAAAGGGAAGAAGCAGCAGGUGGCAGGAGAACAAGGAGAAACCCCCGCCCCAAAAAUGGGAAGAGAGUGACAGAGGGACAACCCCCACCCCCAGGUUACUCAGGGUUCUCCAGAGUGACUGCACCAACAGGACACAGAUAUAUACAUAUAUGUGUAUAUAUAUGAGUUUAUUAGGGAGAAUUGGCACACGGGAUUUCAAGGUGAAGUCCAAUGGUAGACCGUCUGCACACUGGGGAAGAGGGAAGCCAGUGAAGGCCAGUCCAAGUCUGAAAGCCUCAAUACCCGGGGACGCCCACAGGGCAGCCUUCAGCCCCCGCCAAAGCUCCCAGAGCCCCCGGAAGUGUGAAACUGCUGGUGCAAGUCCCAGAGCCCUAAGGCAAAAGAACCUGCAGUCUGAUGUCCUAGGAGGAAGGAAGCAAGAACCCCCAGGGAAGACAGAGAGAAGCCAGAGAGCUCCGCCCACAGGGUCACCCCACCCUCUCCUGCCUGCUCUCUUCUAGCCCAGCUGGCAGCCCAUGGUAUGGUACCCGCCCACACUGAUGGGGGUCUUCCUCCCCCAGUUCCCGGACUCAAAUGUCGUUCUCCUCUUGCAACACCCUGACAGACACGCCCAGAAAGAAUACAUUACCAGCCACCUAGGCAUCCCUUAAUCCAAUCCACUGGCCAGCUAAUAUUCACCAUCACAGCCCGCCAGGCCACACUCUCAUCCACACUCCACCCCAACUCCAGCUCCCUGCACUCUGCCUCUGGCAGGGGUGAAGGAUCCAGUCUCUCCAUAUCCUCACUGUGAUUAUGAUGACAGCCAUCCUACUAGGUGUGAGGUGGCAUCUUCUUGUGGCUGUGAUUUGCCUUUCCCUAAUGGCUACAGAUGUUGAGCCUCUUUUCAUGGGCUUAGUGACCAAUGUAUACUUCUCUGGAGAAAUGUUCAUUCAAAACCUUUCCACAUAUUUAUAUUGCAUUAUUUCUCUUUACAAUAUUGAGUUGUAAGAGUGCUUUAUAUAUUCGGGAUACCAGUCCCUUACCAGGUAUAUAAUUUGCACAUAUUUUCUCCAUGCUGUAAGUUGUCUUUUCACUUUCUAAAUGCCAUUCUUUUCGAAGCAAAGAAGUUUCACCUUUGGAAGAAGUCAAAUUAAACUAUUUUUCUUUUGUCAGUAUUGCCUUGGUAUAUACUACUUUAGCAGCCUUAGCCAAACCCCAAGUCACAAAGAUUUACUUUCAUGUUUUCUUUUCUUUUUCUUUCUUUCCCUUCCUUUCUUUUCCUUUUUUCUUCCUUCGUUCCUUCUUCCUUCCUUCCUUCCCUUCUCUUUCCUUCCUACCUUCCUUCCUUUGUUCCUUCCCUCCUUCCUUCCUUACUUCUUUUCUUGACAAAGUUUCACUCUUGUUGCCCAGGCUGGAGUACAGUGGCGCAGUCUUGGCUCACUUCAACCUCUGUCUCCCGGGUUCAAGCAAUUCCCCUGUCUCAGCCUCCUGAGUAGGUAGGAUUACAGGCAUCUGCCACUAUGCAUGGUUAAUUUUUGUACUUUUAGCAGAAAUGGGGUUUCACCAUGUUGGCCAGGCUGGUCUCGAACUCCUGACCUCAAGUGGUUCACCCACUUCAGCUUCACAAAGUGCUGGGAUUACAGGCGUGAGCCACCAUGCCUGGCCAUCCAGCCCCAUUCUUGAGGGCUUUUCUCUCAUAACAUAAUAACCGAUCAAAUCCUCCCUCUCCUAGUACACAUUAGGCACUAUGUUUGGGGGGGACAUAGACAUUCCGUCUCUAGCACCACCUCUGCUGAGUCCUGUCUCCAUGGAAGUGAGGAAGCUGAACAGUCUCCUCCUCACAGUCCCCCCUUGACUGCCAUUGCCUCGGAGAGACACUGAGAACUCACUAAGGCCAAUGGCUGGGCUUCCUUAGGGACAGUUCCAGGGACUGGUUCCUUGUUUGUAACUGGGGAUCCUUCCCUGCUUCUUUGCACCUCUUGUGUUUUUUUGAGAUGAAACUGAAUGUUUACAAGAAUACAAUGUGACAGCUCUGGAAAUCAGAUGUCCCCUCUCUUCAAGGUGUGUUGCUGCUGCUUGUUUAGUGACUUUCUGGAUGGAUCUUAUAACAUCGGUAUUCCCUGUCUCAGGUGGACCCUGAAGUCUCUGCUCAGUUAGGUGAGCUUGGACAGAGGUUUGCAUCAAUGCCUUGAGCCGGCGACUCUCUGCCCAGUGCGGAGAGCUUUGUGUGUGUGGUGCACUCCUGCCCCUGCCGCACUCAGGCAGGCAGCUGAUGUCACCACUGCAGCUCCACUUCCUGCCUGAACAGAACCUCCAGGUCAGCCAAAGGUCAGAGAUGUGGCCUUCUCAGGUGCUUCCUGGGCAUGUGCCAGCCUCUAUGCUCAUCCCAUUGCGCAAAUAUUUAUCUCAAUUUCCCCCACUAGCCUCUUGUUUGCCCCACAUGCAAACGGUGGGGGUUGUACAGUUGCAAUUAUUGCUUUUAGCCAGUGCUCUGAGGCUCUGGCUUUUUCCUAGAAAGAGACCUCAGCGGGUCAAACAAUGACAAGCCCAGUGAAUGCGGCUUUUCCAGGGAGUCCCAGACAGGCCAAAUAGAGUUCUCUGGGGCUGGGGCUUUUGAAGGGCUCCAAACCCCAUGUGCCCUUCCAGCAAGUGGAGACUGUGAUCUUGUAGCUGUCACUGACAUGGUUGGUCCAGUGUUUUCUGGGCAUAAUAAAUCGGGAUAUAUUGUGCAAACAAGAAAUGGAAAGAAAUGUUAGGAGGAAGAAUACAAAUUUUCAAGCACGAGUUCGGGAGUAUUAGAAAAAAACAAUGAGGAAAAGGGCAAGGCUGGCUUGGUUGUAGUUAACCUGAUGGAGAAACGCAGCUGUCUGCAAUAGAGGGCUCGAGCUGUUAGGUUCCUCUGCAACGCCGAGAGCACCUCCACAACUAGCCCUACAUCAUCCUCUCUCCCGAGGCUGAAUGCAGCUCUUGGGCCUUCAGUGCCAAGGAAGCCACAGUCCCAGACCAGAGGAAGGGCUGAGGAUGACAGUGGAAAAGGAGGUGGUGGGUGCAGAAGGAGAAGGCCGACAGCAAGGAUUUCCUGAGGAUAAGCAAAAACGUCACGUGAAAAUGGAUAAAAAAGUAAGGGUAUAAAGAGCAAGGUGG
ensembl:lncRNA